rnacentral:rRNA from 1 species
AUGAACGCUGGCGGCGUGCCUUAUACCUGCCAGUCGAGUGGGUUUAGACCCACGGCAAACGGGUGAGUAACACGUAGGUACUUUCCUUGUCACAGGAAUAACCCUCCGAAAGGAGGGCUAAUACCUGAUGUGAUCGCAAGAUUAAAGGGUAUCCGCAAGGAUUACCGGACAAGAAGAGGCCUGCGGCCUAUCAGCUAGUUGGCGGGGUAAAUGCCCACCAAGGCUAUGACGGGUAGCUGGUCUUAUGAGGAUGAUCAGUCACAUGGGCACUGAGACACGGGCCCAACUCCUACGGGAGGCAGCAGUAGGGAAUUUUGCGCAAUGGGCGAAAGCCUGACGCAGCGACGCCGCGUGCGGGAUGAAGGCCUUCGGGUCGUAAACCGCUUUUAUAAGGGACGAACUUUGACGGUACCUUAUGAAUAAGAGGUUGCUAACUCUGUG